rnacentral:rRNA from 1 species
UACAGAGGGUGCAAGCGUUGCUCGGAAUUAUUGGGCGUAAAGGGCACGUAGGUGGUCUCAUUUGUCUGGGGUGAAAGCCUUGAGCUUAACUCAAGAAGUGCCCCGGAAACGGUGAGACUCGAGUACUGGAGAGGGUCGUGGAAUUCCCGGUGUAGCGGUGAAAUGUGUAGAGAUCGGGAGGAACACCAGAGGCGAAGGCGGCGACCUGGACAGUAACUGACACUGAACUGCGAAAGCGUGGGGAGCAAACAGG